GUGCUCACGUCAGCAGCACAGACACUAAAAUUGGAAGGAUACAGAGAAGAUUAGCAUGGCCCCUGUCUGAGGAUGACAUACAAAUUCUUGACGCGUUCCAUGGAAAA